rnacentral:rRNA from 1 species
AACGAACGCUGGCGGCGGGCCUAAUACAUGCAAGUAGAACGCUGAAGAGAGAAGCUUUCUCUUCUUGGAUGAGUUGCUAACGGGUGAGUAACGCGUAGGUAACCUGCCAUGUAGCGGGGGAUAACUAUUUGAAACGAUAGCUAAUACCACAUAACAAUGGAUGACACAUGUCAUUUAUUUUAAUCGGACAAUUCCUCCACUACUAGAUGGACCUGCGUUGUAUUAGCUAGUAGGUGAGGUAAUGGCUCACCUAGGCGACGAUACAUAGCCUACCUGAGAGGGUGGACGGCCAACACGGGAAUGAGAAAAGGCCCAGGAUACUAAGGGAGGGAGGAGUAGGGAAUCAUCGGAAAUGGGGGCCAACCUGAAUGCACACCGACGCGUGAGGUGAGAAGGUUUUCGGAUCGGAAAGGUCUGUUGUAAGUGAAGAACGGGUGUGAGAGUAGAAAGUUCACACUGUGACGGUAGCUUAACAGAAAGGGACGGCUAACUACGUG